rnacentral:rRNA from 1 species
UGUGGGUGGAUUAGUGGCGAACGGGUGAGUAACACGUGAGUAACCUGCCCUUAACUCUGGGAUAAGCCUGGGAAACUGGGUCUAAUACCGGAUAUGACUCCUCAUCGCAUGGUGGGGGGUGGAAAGCUUUAUUGUGGUUUUGGAUGGACUCGCGGCCUAUCAGCUUGUUGGUGAGGUAAUGGCUCACCAAGGCGACGACGGGUAGCCGGCCUGAGAGGGUGACCGGCCACACUGGGACUGAGACACGGCCCAGACUCCUACGGGAGGCAGCAGUGGGGAAUAUUGCACAAUGGGCGAAAGCCUGAUGCAGCGACGCCGCGUGAGGGAUGACGGCCUUCGGGUUGUAAACCUCUUUCAGUAGGGAAGAAGCGAAAGUGACGGUACCUGCAGAAGAAGCGCCGGCUAACUACGUGCCAGCAGCCGCGGUAAUACGUAGGGCGCAAGCGUUAUCCGGAAUUAUUGGGCGUAAAGAGCUCGUAGGCGGUUUGUCGCGUCUGCCGUGAAAGUCCGGGGCUCAACUCCGGAUCUGCGGUGGGUACGGGCAGACUAGAGUGAUGUAGGGGAGACUGGAAUUCCUGGUGUAGCGGUGAAAUGCGCAGAUAUCAGGAGGAACACCGAUGGCGAAGGCAGGUCUCUGGGCAUUAACUGACGCUGAGGAGCGAAAGCAUGGGGAGCGAACAGGAUUAGAUACCCUGGUAGUCCAUGCCGUAAACGUUGGGCACUAGGUGUGGGGGACAUUCCACGUUUUCCGCGCCGUAGCUAACGCAUUAAGUGCCCCGCCUGGGGAGUACGGCCGCAAGGCUAAAACUCAAAGGAAUUGACGGGGGCCCGCACAAGCGGCGGAGCAUGCGGAUUAAUUCGAUGCAACGCGAAGAACCUUACCAAGGCUUGACAUGAACCGGAAAUACCUGGAAACAGGUGCCCCGCUUGCGGUCGGUUUACAGGUGGUGCAUGGUUGUCGUCAGCUCGUGUCGUGAGAUGUUGGGUUAAGUCCCGCAACGAGCGCAACCCUCGUUCUAUGUUGCCAGCGCGUUAUGGCGGGGACUCAUAGGAGACUGCCGGGGUCAACUCGGAGGAAGGUGGGGACGACGUCAAAUCAUCAUGCCCCUUAUGUCUUGGGCUUCACGCAUGCUACAAUGGCCGGUACAAAGGGUUGCGAUACUGUGAGGUGGAGCUAAUCCCAAAAAGCCGGUCUCAGUUCGGAUUGGGGUCUGCAACUCGACCCCAUGAAGUCGGAGUCGCUAGUAAUCGCAGAUCAGCAACGCUGCGGUGAAUACGUUCCCGGGCCUUGUACACACCGCCCGUCAAGUCACGAAAG